AUUGAACGCUGGCGGCAGGCCUAACACAUGCAAGUCGAGCGGAUGAAGGGAGCUUGCUCCUGGAUUCAGCGGCGGACGGGUGAGUAAUGCCUAGGAAUCUGCCUGGUAGUGGGGGAUAACGUCCGGAAACGGGCGCUAAUACCGCAUACGUCCUGAGGGAGAAAGUGGGGGAUCUUCGGACCUCACGCUAUCAGAUGAGCCUAGGUCGGAUUAGCUAGUUGGUGGGGUAAAGGCCUACCAAGGCGACGAUCCGUAACUGGUCUGAGAGGAAGAUCAGUCACACUGUAACUGAGACACGGUCCAGACUCCUACGGGAGGCAGCAGUGGGGAAUAUUGGACAAUGGGCGAAAGCCUGAUCCAGCCAUGCCGCGUGUGUGAAGAAGGUCUUCGGAUUGUAAAGCACUUUAAGUUGGGAGGAAGGGCAGUAAGUUAAUACCUUGCUGUUUUGACGUUACCAACAGGAUAGGCACCGGCUAACUUCGUG
rnacentral:rRNA from 1 species